UACGGAGGGGGUUAGCGUUGUUCGGAAUUACUGGGCGUAAAGCGCGCGUAGGCGGACCAGAAAGUUGGGGGUGAAAUCCCGGGGCUCAACCCCGGAACGGCCUCCAAAACUCCUGGUCUUGAGUUCGAGAGAGGUGAGUGGAAUUCCGAGUGUAGAGGUGAAAUUCGUAGAUAUUCGGAGGAACACCAGUGGCGAAGGCGGCUCACUGGCUCGAUACUGACGCUGAGGUGCGAAAGUGUGGGGGGCAAACAGG
rnacentral:rRNA from 1 species